rnacentral:misc_RNA from 1 species
AAAAAAAAAAAAAAAAAAAAAAGACUAUUCUGCAGUAGUGCUUAAACUCUGGACAUUCCAAGCUUCCGUUCGAACAGCCGGCGAAGAAGGUAAACUUGCAGAACGCUAGCACCAAUUAGUGCUGCAGAUUCAUAUAAAGCUUUGUGAAUAGCCCUGCGGCCCAUUGCUUCAUUUACUAUUGCUUGACGUUCAGUUUGAGCCUCCAGCCAAUGCUGCUCAAAUUGUAUGUUGUAAAGAGCCUCCUCUAGCUUCCAUAUCUGAUCUAGCAAGGGUUUAAAAUGCUCAUCUUUCGCAUGCUCAUCAUAGUAUGAAAAAUGGCC